UACUCGUGAGAGAUCCUGGAGGUAUGGGAAGUGCGAAUGCUGACAUGAGUAACGACAAAGAGUGUGAAAGACACUCUCGCCGAAAGUCCAAGGGUUCCUGCGUAAAGUUAAUCUGCGCAGGGUUAGCCGGCCCCUAAGGCGAGGCCGAAAGGCGUAGUCGAUGGGAACGGGGCGAAUAUUCCCCGGCCAGUGGAUGGUGACGGAUGCCGUAUAUCGUUC
rnacentral:rRNA from 14 species